rnacentral:rRNA from 1 species
UACGGGGGGGGCAAGCGUUGUUCGGAAUUACUGGGCGUAAAGGGCUCGUAGGUGGCCAACUAAGUCAGACGUGAAAUCCCUCGGCUUAACCGGGGAACUGCGUCUGAUACUGGAUGGCUUGAAUUCGGGAGAGGGAUGCAGAAUUCCAGGUGUAGCGGUGAAAUGCGUAGAUAUCUGGAGGAAUACCGGUGGCGAAGGCGGCAUCCUGGACCGACAUUGACGCUGAUGAGCGAAAGCUAGGGGAGCAAACGGG